rnacentral:rRNA from 1 species
CGUAGGGUGCUAGCGUUGUCCGGAAUUAUUGGGCGUAAAGAGCUCGUAGGUCGUUUGUUACGUCGGAUGUGAAAACCUGAGGCUCAACCUCAGGCCUGCAUUCGAUACGGGGAAACUAGAGUUUGGUAGGGGAGACUGGAAUUCCGGGUGUAGCGGUGGAAUGCGCAGAUAUCAGGAGGAACACCAAUGGCGAAGGCAGGUCUCUGGGCCAAUACUGACACUGAGGAGCGAAAGUCUGGGGACCGAACAGGAUUMGAUACCCUGGUAGUCCAGACCGUAAACGGUGGGCACUAGUUGUGGGAACCUUCCACGGUUUCURCGACGCAGCUAACGCAUUAAGUGCCCCGCCUGGGGAGUACGAUCGCAAGAUUAAAACUCAAAGGAAUUGACGGGGCCCCGCACAAGCAGCGGAGCAUGCGGCUUAAUA